UUUAUGGAGAGUUUGAUCCUGGCUCAGGAUGAACGCUGGCGGCGUGCCUAAUACAUGCAAGUCGAGCGAACAGACGAGG
rnacentral:rRNA from 2 species